rnacentral:rRNA from 1 species
CAGCAGCCGCGGUAAUACGUAGGUUGCGAGCGUUAAUCGGAUUUACUGGGCGUAAAGCGUGCGCAGGCGGCCCGUUAAGACAGGUGUGAAAUCCCUGGGCUCAACCUAGGAAUUGCGCUUGUGACUGGCGGGCUCGAGUACGGUAGAGGGGGGUGGAAUUCCUGGUGUAGCAGUGAAAUGCGUAGAGAUCAGGAGGAACACCGAUGGCGAAGGCAGCCCCCUGGGCCUGUACUGACGCUCAUGCACGAAAGCGUGGGGAGCAAACAGGAUUAGAUACCCUGGUAGUCCACGCCCUAAACGAUGGGUACUAGCCGUUUGGUGCGCGAUAGCGCUGAGUGGCGAAGCUAACGCGUGAAGUACCCCGCCUGGGGAGUACGGCCGCAAGGUUGAAACUUAAAGGAUUGGCGGG